rnacentral:rRNA from 1 species
UACGGAGGGUGCGAGCGUUGUCCGGAAUCACUGGGCGUAAAGGGCGCGUAGGCGGCCUGGUAAGUAGGGGGUGAAAUCCUGCGGCUUAACCGCAGGGCUGCCUUCUAAACUGUCAGGCUCGAGCACGGUAGAGGCAGAUGGAAUUCCCGGUGUAGCGGUGGAAUGCGUAGAGAUCGGGAAGAACAUCGGUGGCGAAGGCGGCCUGCUGGGCCGUUGCUGACGCUGAGGCGCGACAGCGUGGGGAGCAAACAGG